UAGUGGGGGACAACGUUUCGAAAGGAACGCUAAUACCGCAUACGUCCUACGGGAGAAAGCAGGGGACCUUCGGGCCUUGCGCUAAUAGAUGAGCCUAGGUCGGAUUAGCUAGUUGGUGGGGUAAAGGCUCACCAAGGCGACGAUCCGUAACUGGUCUGAGAGGAUGAUCAGUCACACUGGAACUGAGACACGGUCCAGACUCCUACGGGAGGCAGCAGUGGGGAAUAUUGGACAAUGGGCGAAAGCCUGAUCCAGCCAUGCCGCGUGUGUGAAGAAGGUCUUCGGAUUGUAAAGCACUUUAAGUUGGGAGGAAGGGUUGUAGAUUAAUACUCUGCAAUUUUGACGUUACCGACAGAAUAAGCACCGGCUAACUCUGUGCCAGCAGCCGCGGUAAUACAGAGGGUGCAAGCGUUAAUCGGAAUUACUGGGCGUAAAGCGCGCGUAGGUGGUUUGUUAAGUUGGAUGUGAAAGCCCCGGGCUCAACCUGGGAACUGCAUCCAAAACUGGCAAGCUAGAGUACGGUAGAGGGUGGUGGAAUUUCCUGUGUAGCGGUGAAAUGCGUAGAUAUAGGAAGGAACACCGAUGGCGAAGGCAGCCCCCUGGGUCAAGAUUGACGCUCAUGCACGAAAGCGUGGGGAGCAAACAGGAUUAGAUACCCUGGUAGUCCACGCCCUAAACGAUGUCUACUAGUUGUCGGGUUU
rnacentral:rRNA from 1 species